UACCACCUACGGGGCGCAGCAGUGAGGAAUAUUGGUCAAUGGGCGCGAGCCUGAACCAGCCAAGUAGCGUGCAGGACGACGGCCCCAUGGGUUGUAAACUGCUUUUAUACGGGGAUAAAGUAUGCCACGUGUGGUUUACUGCAGGUACCGUAUGAAUAAGGACCGGCUAAUUCCGUGCCAGCAGCCGCGGUAAUACGGAAGGUCCGGGCGUUAUCCGGAUUUAUUGGGUUUAAAGGGAGCGUAGGCCGGGUUUUAAGCGUGCCGUGAAAUGUCGGGGCUCAACCUUCACACUGCGGCGCGAACUG
rnacentral:rRNA from 1 species